rnacentral:misc_RNA from 1 species
UACGGAGGGGGCUAGCGUUGUUCGGAAUUACUGGGCGUAAAGCGCACGUAGGUGGCGCAUCAAGUCAGGGGUGAAAGGCCUGGGCUCAACCUAGGAACUGCCUUUGAGACUGAUGUGCUUGAGUCCGGGAGAGGGCAGUGGAAUUCCCAGUGUAGAGGUGAAAUUCGUAGAUAUUGGGAAGAACACCAGUGGCGAAGGCGGCUGCCUGGCCCGGCACUGACACUGAGGUGCGAAAGCGUGGGGAGCAAACAGG